UGGUCUCAUAUCGACUCAACAUGAUUUUUCCCUUUAGGGACUAUUCGCAUUUGCACAAGUACUAUGGGGAAAACGGAGAUCAAGCGUUGGCCUUGCUUCCAUAACUGCCUUGUCAACUUCGUUAUCAAAGAACUUGAAUCCCUCAAACUUCAGAUGAUACUAACACAAGGGUACAAGAACUGAGACUGCAGCCUUGUGAAGCUCAGACUUAUGUUAGGCAGAGCAGGGACAGUUCUGUGCCUCCAAUCCAGGGGAAACCUAUGCCCAUAUUCAGCAGGAAGCAGCCCCAGAAGACAGACCUUCCCCUCAAGAAUGGGGAGUAGUGAUGAGGAAAGGGGGUGUUGUUGCCAGAGCCAACAGCAGAUCCUUGCCAAAGCCUGCAAAACCCUCCUUGAACUGGAGUUAUCAUGUAUCAAGAAGUGAAAUGUCUGGAGACAAGAGGAGGAAGCUAUAGGAAGAGACAAACCAGAUGGAACCAGGUGGAAUCAGGAUGAUGAUGACUCUGACCUCCCCCAGACUCCGAGUCUCAUUCAACACAGAUUUUGCCACAUUAGCUACUAGAUGACACACCUACUGGUGGUCGUGUCAGGAAGAUGCUGACCAAAAAAGGAUAAAAGGGGGGUGGCACCCAUUUCCAGGAAAGUCCUGGCACUUCCCUGCAGAGUAAUGGGCAGGCCUCCCUGUCAUUAGCCUCACUCCUCUUCCCUUUAUCUUUACUCCUUAAAAUCAAAGACCUCUCACAACUUGGCUGGGAACUUCAGCUGUGAACUAAGGUCCUACUUAUCCAUUCUUUGCCCACUGAAUAAAACCUGGGCAUCCACCUCCA